rnacentral:rRNA from 1 species
GAUGAACGCUGACCGAAUGCUUAACACAUGCAAGUCGAUGGGGAAGUGGUGCUUGCCCCAUGGCAACCAUGGCGGACGGGUGAGUAACGCGUAAGGGACUUACCUGCAGGACUGGGAUAACAGGGGGAAACUCCUGACAAGACCGGAUAAUGUCAUGGAGCUGCAUGGCUUUAUGAUGAAAGGAGACGCCUGCGGAGAGCCUUGCGUCCUAUUAGCUAGUUGGUGAGGUAAUGGCUCACCAAGGCGAAGAUAGGUAGCCGGCCUGAGAGGGUGGACGGCCACAAGGGGACUGAGAUACGGCCCUUACUCCUACGGGAGGCAGCAGUGGGGAAUAUUGGACAAUGGGGGCAACCCUGAUCCAGCAAUUCUGUGUGCACGAAGAAGGUUUUCGGAUUGUAAAGUGCUUUCAGCAGGGAAGAAGUAAGUGACGGUACCUGCAGAAGAAGCGACGGCUAAAUACGUG